UUUGUAUUUGGAAGAUUGAUCCAAACAAUGAAGAAAACAAGACUUUGAUAGCAUCAUCAAGAGUCACCCUUAAGGCCAACAUGUCUGUACCUGAAAAUGCUAAAGAUGCUGCUGUCAAUCUCAAGAAAUAUGCUAAGUUAUGAUCAGGUUUAAUUGAGUUCGAUUGCAGCAUAUUUGAUUGUAAGCAAAACUAUACAUAACCUAAUUGUGAAGAAAGAUAAAGAGAUGGGCUAAUCAAUUUGGAGUUUGAUGCUCCAUCAAUAAUUAAUGGAUACCGUAAUUAAUUUGUUUCACUCUCUUGCUUUUACUGUAUUUAUUGAGAUACUAUCUUUGGCAAGUAUGGGAGCACAUAUGGCAUCCGGUUUUGGACGAGUGGCUGGAGUUCAGCUCAGUAUCCACCAUCUCAAGAGUGCUCAUAUUGGUGAUCUUGUUUUUGCCGAGGCUGUACCUGUCAAUAUUGGCAAAACUAUUCAUGUUUGGGAAGUUUGUAUUUGGAAGAUUGAUCCAAACAAUGAAGAAAACAAGACUUUGAUAGCAUCAUCAAGAGUCACCCUUAAGGCCAACAUGUCUGUACCUGAAAAUGCUAAAGAUGCUGCUGUCAAUCUCAAGAAAUAUGCUAAGUUAUGAUCAGGUUUAAUUGAGUUCGAUUGCAGCAUAUUUGAUUGUAAGCAAAACUAUACAUAACCUAAUUGUGAAGAAAGAUAAAGAGAUGGGCUAAUCAAUUUGGAGUUUGAUGCUCCAUCAAUAAUUAAUGGAUACCGUAAUUAAUUUGUUUCACUCUCUUGCUUUUACUGUAUUUAUUGAGAUACUAAUAUAUCGCAUCUAAUUCCAAAUUCAAUAGUAUUUCUGGGGUCCAAAUAUGUCCUAGGUACUUUCCUUUUUAGUUUGUUCUAAAAUAAAUAUUAUAUUUCUAAAUUUGAAAAUAAUUUCUUUUUAGUUUGUUCUAAAAUAAAUAUUAUAUUUCUAAAUUUGGAAAUAAUUCAACUUUAAACUUUAAUUUUAUCCUUUUUAUCCUUAUGAGAAGUUUUUAUCGCCACAUAAAUGAUACGACACCGCAAUCCUUUUACCCCUUGCUGCUUCAAACAUUAACAAUAUGAACGAAACGGAGGCAGUAUAUCUUUUCUCCGAGUAUGAAGAUUGGAAGGGACAAACCACAAGCCAACUAAGGGCCGACCAUUAAGUUUACCCUUACAUUAAUAUACCAAUCAAGGUAAUGUUUUCCACCUACCACGCACUUUACCCUUUAUCCUUUCUUCUUCCUCACAGCUAUUCCAUAAGUCCAAACUCCAAUCAUCAUCUUCAAUCUAUUCUUCUCUGCCACUUUCAUCAAGAUUCUUGAUUUCCAUAAACAGAUAAUCAGAUUUACCAUUUCAGAAUAUCUGAAUCCAAAAGAGAAACUCCCUUUUUAAUUUAUCAAAAAUUGACCUUGUUGAGAUAUGGAUUAUCUCUUGCCCCAUAACUGAAAGAACCAUAUAGUGCGACAAAAAGGUUCAUUCCAAUUUGGACAGGUGUUUCUGCUAAAGCUAGGAACGUGAGUCAAACCUUUCUGUCCGAGGUCAACCUCCAAGAACAAGACCUCAUUUCAAGAUAAC
rnacentral:lncRNA from 1 species